GCAAAAGAAUGACGCGAAAAGCCUGAGCAGCCAUGCCGCGUGCAGUGAUGACGGCCCUAUGGGUUGUAAACUCGCUUUUAUAAUGAAAUAAAGUGCGGUACGUGUGCCGUUUUGUAAGUACCGUAUGAAUAAGGACCGGCUAAUUCCGUGCCAGCAGCCGCGGUAAUAAAUAA
rnacentral:rRNA from 1 species